GUGCUUGUUUUCACAGAACAUACACUAAAAUUGGAAGGAUACAGAGAAGAUUAGCAUGGCCCCUGUGCAAGGAUAACAUGCAAAUUUAUAGAAAGCACUGAUGUUUGU
ensembl:snRNA U6 U6 spliceosomal RNA